GCUCGAGGGGGAGGCCUUGCGGUGGUGGAGGGGCGGUGGCCGAGUCAGCCGCUGGGGUGGGAGCUCGCACUUCCUCAGAUCCUCUCCUUGCAGACACAUCCAGGUCCUCGAGCACUUCCCAGCCCCUCUCCCUCCUCAGGGUAGCCCCCGCCCACCUCUGAAGGACUAGAAGUUCGGCUGAGAAGCCACUCGGUGUGGCUGCCCCUCUCCUGCACGGCCGCCUGGGCACCCCCUCCCCGGCUUCCUCCCUCAGGCCAGAGUUCACGGAAACUUCUCAGCUUUUGCAUCGAAGACCAGCCACUCACUCCCCUGACUCACAGCUACACUUAAUGUUUGAUUGACUGCAGGAGCAGAGAUUGAGCCCAGGGACUUCACACUGAGAUGCUGCCGGAGGGCUGAGCACUUGGCUGACGGGGAGGGAAAAUCGUGCAGAGCCUCCGGAGACACGGGGAGCAGAGCAGCCCAAGCCUCGCUCCGCCCGGGCACCUCCGGGAUGAGCCUGGCCCGAGAGCGCUCAGGACCCGAGCAUGCGACACGAUUCCAUCCCAGAAGCAAACCCUCCCCAGCACCCACUGGCCCCGGACACGAAGCUGGGUGCAUUCUGGGGUUUAUCUCAUCUAACUCCCACCAACAAGCCCACAAGGAAGGAAUUACCACUACCACUCCUCAGCGAGGAAGCAGAUGCCCUGAUGGUCCUGCAACGUAAGAAAGGUCAGGCCUGAGCACAAGCCAUCAGCACGCACCCCGUCUGCGUCUCCUGGUGACAGCAAACGUGCUCCAGCGACCUUAGUGCUGCGGAGGCUCCUAAGCCCUGGGGAUGGCGUGGGAAGGCGGGCUGGUGAAGUGGCAGCCCCACCUUGGCAGCCCUCCCACCCUAAGGCCCUGGCCCGUCUAACUCUGGCUGGGCCCACUCGCCACUGCUUGCAAAUGCCGCAAAUUAGGUGCUCCAUUCCGAAGAAGAGAACUCCAGUCCAGCGCUGUCCCUCUAGCGGCACAUGUGGCAAGUUGCUAAGAACCCAGGUGCCUUCGGAAGUCGCUGUUCAACUAAUUCUUUUUCCGUCUCCCAAUCCCCGUAGCUCCAUCUCUGUGUUUUCCUUCCUGUGUCCACGCUGUUUCCCAUCUGAUUCACUUCCAAGCAGACGCAGUUUGGGGGUGGGGCCUCCCUUCCACGGGCCCCAUGGGACUGACAAGGGAGAGGCCCCCCUUCGGCUCCAGCACUCAGUGAAUCUGAGCAUACAUUUUAGACUCAUUGAUAUGCUCUCCUAAUCCCAAGGAGUCCAGUUCCCAGCUACGUGGACACCCACACACACAGUUACAGCACACUUACACACACACACACACUGUCUCCCAGACGGACACAUCCUUCACACACGUACACCCGCACCAAGACCUGUCAUCCACAGAAGCAGGGACUUGCAUCCAGAGUGACAGGAAGAAACACAAUCCCUUUCUCACCCCAACCAUCACCAGAGAUAUCUGCGGGAAUCUUGCGUUUUCUUCCAUUUGUUAGAUGAUUGUGCAUCCGUAUUACCUCACCUCAGCACACCUGAAUCACAUGUCCGUGCAGAUGUUGGGGGUGUGUUCACACUUACGUGAGCAUUUUUCCCCUUCAUAGAACAUGAAUGAAACAGUGAUUCGGCAGGUAUCUGGUUAAUUUUAUAAAUACAGACAGCCAAACCAGAAUAUUUAGGUCCAAAAACCUACCACUGCUUUGAGUCAUGGGGUUUGGCCAUCUAUACUUAACCAAUUAACCAGCAAAUUGCCAAGGUCAUGCGUGUGUGCUGGGCAGGCACACUUUCAGGGUGGCCCGCACACUUGCGGAUACGUAGGUAUCUCCCACACCUCGUUAUUAAGUGUAUUUUCCUACGUAUUAUUAUACCUAAUAUAUAUUUGUAGCCAACCAAUUCGUACCUGGCCCAGCUUAUCUGGGAUUAAUCUUCCAUACCAGGCUGAUUUUCUACAGCUAUCUAUCAUGUGACUGAGCCUUGGGUGUAGCAGUCUGAACAAGCAAGCAUGCUUUCACAGACAUCCUGCCUCCGUUCUUGUUGUUUUCCAUCUUGAUAAAUACGUCUUCAGAUGAUGAGGUUUGUUAUUAGCUUACAUUGCACAGAAUUGGUGACGGAAACCAGCUUAUAAGCAGGACCCCGAGUAGAAACCACCAAAUGGAUGCGAAAAUAUAGAGAGAUAGCAAGAGAGCAGGUGUAAUGGAAGAUUUUUGAUGGAAUAAAAAAAGAUCUGGGGUUUUUCCUCUCAGUUUUACUCGGGAUUUGCUUUGAACAUUUGUCCAUAUCAGCGUUUGUGCCGUGACAGAGUAGGCUCUGUGUUUUUGAGAAGUCUCCUCUAGCUCUGAAAUACUGGGACGCCCCGCAAGCAUCACUGAACUAGACCAACAGGUGCUGGUGAACAGUGAUCUGACACGGUAGCAACAGCGCUUCUCAAACUUCAGUGUGCGUGCAAAGUGGGAGUUGCCUGGAAUCUUGUUAAAGUGCAGAUUCUGGUUCACUAGCUCUGUAUUUGUAAGAAGGUCUCGGUGGACGCUGAUAUUGCUGGUCCGUGGACCACACAUUGAGAAGCAAAAGGAGGCUGAGCAGGAGGAUUACAAGUUCGAGCCCAGCCUGGUAACUCAGCAAGAACCUCUCUCAAACAUAAAAAGAAAAAGGGCUAGAGAUGGAGCUCAAUGCAAAGGACCUAGGUUCAAACCUCAGUACUGCACACACACACACACACACACACACACACACACACACACACAAAGCCUACUGGACCUGGAGUUAAAAAUCCCAGGUCUGUCCAUAGUUUAUCUUUGCUGAGCCUCAGUUUCCUCUUCUGCAAAAUAAAAACAGUUUUAAAUACUUA